UUAAGGUCUCUAAAGAGCCGUCCGAGACUAGGACGUUGAUAGGCAGGGUGUGUAAGCGUUGUGAGGCGUUGAGCUAACCUGUACUAAUGACUCGUGAGGCUUAACCAUACAACCCUAAUGGGUUUUAUA
rnacentral:rRNA from 2 species